rnacentral:tRNA from 3 species
GUAAUAGUAGCUCAAAACAGAGCGUUGGCCUUGUAAGUCAAAGGUUGAGUAAAUUUACUCCUAUUACU